UGAUCUUCAGGGUUUUUUUUCCCUCUAUUGAUCAUAUUUGUUGAAUGGGGCCCCAUAAAAUUAGACUGAUAAAAGACAGAAGGAGAGAAGCAAAUUUAUUAACAUGUGCAUCAUGUGUAUGCAGGAGAAUGCUUGAUGGUGAGUAACUCAGAGGAAUGGUUAGAACUGGAAUUCACAUGGUAUCUUAGCAAAGAAUAAGAAUCCUGCAGAGAAGUAAUAACCAAAGAAUAAGGAGUUUGAACUUCUAGGGCAGGUAGAUUGGGGGAAGGUAAAUAUAUGUGGAGGCUGAUGGAAGAUAACAUUUGUUGUACAGAUUCUUCUGGGAUUUCUCUGAGCAGAUAAGAAUUUAGAGUCUCUGGUGAUUCAGGAUUUCCUGCCGUUCCUGGUAGAGAUGGGGAGGGCAAAGAAUUUUUCUUGGGUCUGCUUCUACUUAAUUGGCUUUUGCUCAAAAUAAUCAAUAGACCAAAGUGGCAUAUUUUGGAGUGGCAUAUUCUACAACUUCCUCUGAAGGAACUUUCUGGUUCCCUCAUGUGUAAAAAGGAAAUAAAAUUAGUCCUUAGGCAUUCUGAGGAUUUCUUAGAUAAUCCAUUCAAAGAACUCAGAACUGUGUCUAGCAAACAACAUAUGCUCAGUUCAUGCUGCCUAACACCACUGCUGCUCCAGCUGAUGAGAUCCGUUGGAUUUUCCCAAGUUCCUUCCAUCCUGGACUUGGGGGUGAGGGAGGCCCUGGGUAUAGGCAGCUAAAUAGGAAGUGGAAAAAGAUAAUUUAUUAAUAGAAUCCUCUUCCUUCUAGAAUUUCUUGGAGAUGGUGAGGCCAGUGGCAACAGCUGAUUAGGAGACCAUUCAGUAAGGAUUAAGAAUCAAAUACACUGUGUCACUGAGGUAGUCUUAGGCCUGCAGAUCUGUUGUGGGCAAUGUGAAAACAAGAGGAAAAUUAGGAUGUAUUUCAAAAUGGAGUCUGGAGGCCAUGAAGGGGGCAGGAUUUAUGCAGGUUCCAACUUCUCCCUGGGAAUGUGAACUCUGGUCUCUUCCACCCCGUCUGGAACAACCAAAACAAGUGGUCAAUUGAAUUGUACUCAGAGGCUUACGGUACAUAUCAGGAGAUCACCAGACUCUUGUUUUGUGGCCUUUUCCAUUUUGUUUGUACGUUCUUUUUUUUUUUUUUUUUCUGUAGCUUAUGUAGCUCCUGUUUCUUCUCAACAUUCACUAGCACACAUGAGCUCCUACUUUUUCUGCCUUCCGCAGAAUGCUGAUUUAGAGCUUUCUGAAUCUUUGUCACUUGAAUCACAGUUCCUAAGACCUGAAAUAAAGCCAUUUGGAUGGAUUCACUGUGAUAGGUAAGAAAGAAAUUAUUCAUCCAUGAACAGAGAGUAAAAAAGGAGUAAAAAGUGAGGGAAUAGCCAUUGGAAGCUAGAAUCAGUAAAACUGGGAACUUAAGCAGAGAGAAAUGAGGGAGAGCAGCAGGAUUUUGUAGGGAGAGAACUGAAUGGAAAGAGUUAAGGCCAGAGAUCAUGCAGCAAAUUGCUGCCAUCAAAAGCAAAUAUUUGCCAGACUCUAGACGAUAAGACCGCCCAUGGACUUUGAAAAAUACUGUUUACAUGGAAAAAAAAAAAAAAACAUGUUGGAUGAAAAUUCCAAGAAGCCAUUGUUUUAGACGGGAGCCUUCUUGCACUAAGCCCCACAGACCAGAUUAAAAAACAAAAUGGAGUCACUUAGGCUGAGUGAGGUUCUUUAGUACCAAACAGAAAUUGAAUUGUAAUCUGACCUUCCCAGAAAUCAGGAGAAAGAACUCCAGAAAACUUCCUAAACCAGCUCAUUUUGAUUGACAUGAUAAUCAAGUUUCCUCUUCUUUAAUCCUUACCCCUUCUAAUCCUUAUGAAAAGUAACCAGAGGCAAUCUGAUAUUAACCUACCCAUUAAUUUUCUAUUGUCUAUCUCUAUGUCUAUAUUUCAAAGGGAAAGUAAUUUUGAAAUGACCAUCUGAUUUUGGAUUUUUUUUUUAAUUUUUUAUUGUUGGGUGUUCAAAACAUUACAUAGUUCUUGAUAUAUCAUAUUUCACACUUUGAUUCAAGUGGGUUAUGAGCUCCCAUUUUUACCCCAUAUACAGAUUGCAGAAUUACAUCAGUUACACAUCCAUUGAUUUACAUAUUGCCAUACUAGUGUCUGUUGUGUUCUGCUGCCUUUCCUAUCCUCUACUAUCCCCCCUCCCCUCCCCUCCCCUCCCCUCCCCUCUUCUCUCUCUGCCCCCUCUACUAGCAUUCAUUUGUCCCCCUUGUAUUCUUUUUCCCUUUCCCCUCACUUCCUCUUGUAUGUACUUUUGUAUAACUCUGAGGGUCUCCUUCCAUUUCCAUGCAAUUUCCCUUCUCUCUCCCUUUCCCUCCCACCUCUCAUCCCUGUUUAAUGUUAAUCUUCUUCUCAUGCUCUUCGACCCUACUCUGUUCUUAGUUACUCUCCUUAUAUCAAAGAAGACAUUUGGCAUUUGUUUUUUAGGGAUUGGCUAGCUUCACUUAGCAUAAUCUGCUCUAAUGCCAUCCAUUUCCCUGUAAAUUCUAUGAUUUUGUCAUUUUUUAAUGCAGAGUAAUACUCCAUUGUGUAUAAAUGCCACAUUUUUUUUAUCCAUUCAUCUAUUGAAGGGCAUCUAGGUUGGUUCCACAGUCUUGCUAUUGUGAAUUGUGCUGCUAUGAACAUCGAUGUAGCAGUGUCCCUGUAGCAUGCUCUUUUUAGGUCUUUAGGGAAUAGACCGAGAAGGGGAAUAGCUGGGUCAAAUGGUGGCUCCAUUCCCAGCUUUCCAAGAAAUCUCCAUACUGCUUUCCAAAUUGGCUGCACCAAUUUGCAGUCCCACCAGCAAUGUACAAGUGUACCCUUUUCCCCACAUCCUCGCCAGCACUUGUUGUUGUUUGACUUCAUAAUGGCUGCCAAUCUAACUGUGGCAUUUAUACACAAUGGAGUAUUACUGUGCAUUAAAAAAUGACAAAAUCAUAGAAUUUACAGGGAAAUGGAUGGCAUUAGAGCAGAUUAUGCUAAGUGAAGCUAGCCAAUCCCUAAAAAACAAAUGCCAAAUGUCUUCUUUGAUAUAAGGAGAGUAACUAAGAACAGAGUAGGGUCGAAGAGCAUGAGAAGAAGAUUAACAUUAAACAGGGAUGAGAGGUGGGAGGGAAAGGGAGAGAGAAGGGAAAUUGCAUGGAAAUGGAAGGAGACCCUCAGAGUUAUACAAAAGUACAUACAAGAGGAAGUGAGGGGAAAGGGAAAAAUAAUACAAGGGGGACAAAUGAAUGUCAGUAGAGGGGGCAGAGAGAGAAGAGGGGAGGGGAGGGGAGGGGAGGGGGGAUAGUAGAGGAUAGGAAAGGCAGCAGAACACAACAGACACUAGUAUGGCAAUAUNGCCACUUUGCUGAAUUCAUUUAUUAGCUCUAAUAGUUUCUUUGUAGAGCCUUUUGGGUCUGCUAGGUAUAGAAUCAUAUCAUCUGCAAAUAGUGAUAAUUUAAGUUCUUCUUUUCCUAUUUUUAUGCCUUUAAUUUCUUUCGUCUGUCUAAUUGCUCUGGCCAGUGUUUCGAGAACUAUGUUGAACAGAAGUGGUGAGAGAGGGCAUCCCUGUCUUGUUCCAGAUUUUAGAGUGAAUGCCUUCAAUUUUUCUCCAUUCAGAAUGAUGCUAGCCUGAGGCUUAGCAUAGAUUGCUUUUACAAUAUUGAGGUAUGUUCCUGUUAUCCCUAGUUUUUCUAGAGUUUUGAACAUAAAGGGAUGCUGUACUUUGUCGAAUGCUUUUUCCGCAUCUAUCGAGAUGAUCAUAUGGUUCUUAUUUUUAAGUCUAUUGAUGUGGUGAAUAACAUUUAUUGAUUUCCGUAUAUUGAACCAGCCUUGCAUCCCAGGGAUGAAUCCUACUUGAUCAUGGUGCACAAUUUUUUUGAUAUGUUUUUGUAUCCGAUUCGCCAGAAUUUUAUUGAGGAUUUUUGCAUCUAGGUUCAUUAGAGAUAUUGGUCUGUAGUUUUCUUUCUUUGAAGUGUCUUUGUCUGGUUUAGGUAUCAGGGUGAUGUUGGCCUCGUAGAAUGAAUUUGGAAGUUCUCCCUCUUUUUCUAUUUCCUGAAGUAGCUUGAAAAGUAUUGGUAUUAGUUCCUCUUUAAAGGUUUUGUAAAACUCUGCUGUAUACCCAUCCGGUCCUGGGCUUUUCUUAGUUGGUAGUCUUUUGAUGGUUUCUUCUAUUUCCUCAAUUGAUAUUGGUCUGUUUAGGUUGUCUAUAUCCUCCUGACUCAAUCUAGGCAGAUCAUAUGACUUAAGAAAUUUAUCGAUGCCUUCACUAUCUUCAAAUUUAUUGGAGUAUAAGGAUUCAAAAUAAUUUUUGAUUAUCUUCUGUAUAUCUGAGGUGUCUGUUGUGAUAUUGCCUUUUUCAUCCCGUAUGCUAGUAAUUUGAGUUCUCUCUCUUCUUCUCUUCGCUAGCAUGGCUAAGGGUCUGUCGAUUUUGUUUAUUUUUUCAAAGAACCAACUUUUAGUUUUGUCAAUUUUUUCAAUUGUUUCUUUUGUUUCGAUUUCAUUAAUUUCAGCUCUGAUUUUAAUUAUUUCUUGCCUUCUACUUCUUUUGCUGUUGUUUUGCUCUUCUUUUUCUAGGAUUUUGAGAUGAAGUAUGAGAUCAUUUAUUUGUUGGUUUUUUCUUUUUUUAAGGAAUGAACUCCAAGCAAUGAAUUUUCCUCUUAGAACUGCUUUCAAUGUGUCCCAUAGAUUCCGAUAUGUUGUGUCUGUGUUUUCAUUAAUCUCUAAGAAUUUUUUAAUUUCCUCCUUGAUGUCUUCUAUAACCCAUUGAUCAUUCAGUAACCUAUUGUUCAUUCUCCAAGUGAUGUAUGCUUUUUCCUUCCUUCUUUUAUCGUUGAUUUUCAGUUCCAUUCCAUUAUGAUCAGAUAGGAUGCAUGGUAUUAUCUCUACUCCUUUAUAUUGUCUAAGAGUUGCCCUGUGACAUAAUAUAUGAUCUAUUUUUGAGAAGGAUCCAUGUGCUGCUGAGAAAAAAAGUGUAACUGCUUGAUGUUGGGUGGUAUAUUCUAUAUAUGUCAAUUAAAUCUAGGUUAUUAAUUGUGUUAUUGAGUUCUAUAGUUUCCUUAUUCAACUUUUGUUUGGAAGAUCUGUUCAGUGGCGAGAGAGGUGUGUUGAAGUCUCCCAUGAUUAUUGUAUGGUGGUCUAUUAGACUCUUGAACUUGAGAAGAGUUUGUUUGAUGAACAUAGCUGCACCAUUGUUUGGGGCAUAUAUAUUUAUGAUUGUUAUGUCUUGUUGGUGUAUGGUUCCCUUAAGCAGUAUGUAGUGUCCCUCUUGAUUUUGGAUUUAGUUUCUGCUUUUCUCGGCCCUUUUCUGUCUAAAAUCUAACCUCUUCUGCUCAGCCUAUCAGAACACAUAUUCUAUUCUAUGGAACGAAGUAUUACCUAUUGCAGAAGCAUAAAAUAAAAUCAAUUAAGAUUUUCAAAACCAAGUCAUUAUAAUUUUACCCUUCAAUAAAAUUUGUUUGUAUGGUGUGCUUACUACAGUUUUCCAGAUUAUAUCUAAAGCUUUUAUAUUCUAAGUGGCUGACUGAGUAGGACAUGCCUGAUGAACCUGUGUUAAAGAGAAACAUACAGGAGAAAUUUUCCUUUAUCUCUUGUGGCAAAGAUAGUGCCAUGACUUCAACAAACCAUGAACUUUGAACUCCUAAGUACUUCAGAAAAACAUAUUGUCCAGUGUUCUCCCAUGUAAGUGGGAUCAUGUGACUAAUUCUAGCCAACAGAAAUUGGUCAAAGUGAUGAGCCACUAAAACUUUCCUGAUCUUCUUCUCUCUCACUUUCCCUGCCAGGAAGCAGAGCACAGAUGGAGGGAGCCUUGGUAUCUGAGCCUUGGAAGAAUUUCACCUGCAGAGUUCUCCAACCAGCAUGAUACUGUUAAGUGGAUGAGAAAUAAAACAGUUGUGUAAAGUCACUGAAA
rnacentral:lncRNA from 1 species